rnacentral:hammerhead_ribozyme from 1 species
AGUCGAAACCGCAGGGGAACGUCCUCGUUCCCCACGGUCCGCCGGGGUUGACCGCCCGGCGCUGAGGAAGACAGGUCAGA